UACAGAGGUCCCAAGCGUUGUUCGGAUUCACUGGGCGUAAAGGGUGCGUAGGCGGUCGGGUAAGUCUGAUGUGAAAUCUCACAGCUUAACUGUGAAACUGCAUUGGAUACUAUUCGGCUUGAGAGUUGGAGGGGGGACUGGAAUUCCUGGUGUAGCGGUGAAAUGCGCAGAUAUCAGGAAGAACACCCGUGGCUAAGGCGGCUCUCUAGUACGGUACUGACGCUGAGACGCGAAAGCGUGGGGAGCAAACAGG
rnacentral:rRNA from 1 species